UUAGUUAUUGUAUUGUAGCUCAGACGUCACCGAAAAAAACAAGAGUUUCAAGGGCCUCUGGCGGGCACGCAAGGGCCACGGGCGAUGGGCGCCCACGGCCAGCGAAUGCUUCGCCGAAGAAACAAAGGUUUGUUGGCAUAGGGUAAAAGAGUCAGGGCUGUUAACCCCCCAGUCCGAAAACCGGCUCUCGGUAAUGAUCCUUCCGCAGGUUCACCUACGGAAA
rnacentral:misc_RNA from 1 species